AGGUAAUGCCCACCAAACUAUACAGGUACGGCUUUGAGAGGAUAGCCCGGAGAUGGGUACUGAGACACGGACCCAGGCCUUAUGGGGCGCAGCAGGCGAGAAUACUUUGCAAUGUGCGAAAGCACGACAAGGUUAAUCCGAGUGGUUUCUGCUAAAGGAACCUUUUGUCAGUCCUAGAAACACUGAUGAAUAAGGGGUGGGCAAGUUCUGGUGUCAGCCGCCGCGGUAAAACCAGCACCUCAAGUGGUCAGGAUGAUUAUUGGGCCUAAAGCAUCCGUAGCCGGCUCUGUAAGUUUUCGGUUAAAUCUGUACGCUCAACGUACAGGCUGCCGGGAAUACUGCAAAGCUAGGGAGUGGGAGAGGUAGACGGUACUCGGUAGGAAGGGGUAAAAUCCUUUGAUCUAUUGAUGACCACCUGUGGCGAAGGCGGUCUACCAGAACACGUCCGACGGUGAGGGAUGAAAGCUGGGGGAGCAAACCGGAUUAGAUACCCGGGUAGUCCCAGCUGUAAACCAUGCAAACUCAGUGAUGCAUUGGCUUGUGGCCAAUGCAGUGCUGCAGGGAAGCCGUUAAGUUUGCCGCCUGGGAAGUACGUACGCAAGUAUGAAACUCAAAUGAAUUGACGG
rnacentral:rRNA from 1 species